rnacentral:pre_miRNA from 1 species
AUGUGGAGGCCGGAUCCCGGGCUGUGUCCCGGCGCCCUGUGCUCCGGGGUCUGCGCUGUUGGAUUCGGGCUCCCGGGGCCAUGCAGCCCCCU